rnacentral:rRNA from 1 species
ACGACUCUCGGCAACGGAUAUCUCGGCUCUCGCAUCGAUGAAGAACGCAGCGAAAUGCGAUACUUGGUGUGAAUUGCAGAAUCCCGUGAACCAUCGAGUUUUUGAACGCAAGUUGCGCCCAAAGCCUUUCGGCUGAGGGCACGUCUGCCUGGGUGUCACGCAACGU